GGCGAGUGGCGGACGGGUGAGUAACGCGUAGGAAUCUACCUAGAAGUGGGGGGUAACCCGGGGAAACUCGGGCUAAUACCGCAUACGCUCUACGGAGGAAAGCUGGGGACCUUAGGGCCUGGCGCUUUUAGAUGAGCCUGCGUCAGAUUAGCUAGUUGGUGGGGUAAAGGCCUACCAAGGCGACGAUCUGUAGCUGAUUUGAGAGGAUGAUCAGCCACACUGGGACUGAGACACGGCCCAGACUCCUACGGGAGGCAGCAGUGGGGAAUUUUGGACAAUGGGCGAAAGCCUGAUCCAGCAAUGCCGCGUGUGCGAUGACGGCCUUCGGGUUGUAAAGCACUUUCAAUUGUGAAGAAAUGUGCACGGUUAAUACCCGUGUAAGCUGACGUUAACAAUAGAAGAAGCACCGGCUAA
rnacentral:rRNA from 1 species